rnacentral:rRNA from 1 species
CCUACGGGUGGCAGCAGUGGGGAAUAUUGCACAAUGGGCGCAAGCCUGAUGCAGCCAUGCCGCGUGUAUGAAGAAGGCCUUCGGGUUGUAAAGUACUUUCAGCGGGGAGGAAGGCGAUAAGGUUAAUAACCUUGUCGAUUGACGUUACCCGCAGAAGAAGCACCGGCUAACUCCGUGCCAGCAGCCGCGGUAAUACGGAGGGUGCAAGCGUUAAUCGGAAUUACUGGGCGUAAAGCGCACGCAGGCGGUCUGUCAAGUCGGAUGUGAAAUCCCCGGGCUCAACCUGGGAACUGCAUUCGAAACUGGCAGGCUAGAGUCUUGUAGAGGGGGGUAGAAUUCCAGGUGUAGCGGUGAAAUGCGUAGAGAUCUGGAGGGAUGCCGGUGGCGAAGGCGGCCCCCUGGACAAUGACUGACGCUCAGGUGCGGAAGCGUGGGGAGCAAACAGGAUUAGAUACCCUCGUAGUC